CGUGAUGAUUGUAAGUUAUGGGCUAAUGGCGGUUCGUUGUCAAAAGUUUAGCUGUAGCUAUUUUCUUCGUAAAUUACCAAUAAAUUUGAGAAAACGUGAAAGAGGCUUGCAGGUUGCAGGCUACUGUCAACUUUUUUUUGCCAAAAUCAUUGUAUGCCUGCUGAAUAUGUCAUCCAAAUGAUACAGCAUACAAGAUUCAACACAAUUAUCGGCUGAUUUUCAUUGGGCUCGCUAGAUCACCAUAACCCCAGUUUGGAGUUUGGACCAAUGUUGGCCUUAGCAACAUCUUUUUCAACCAACUUC